CAUAUUUUUUCUAGCCCGUUGGCAACUUCUUUCGCCCACAAAACCGAAUAACUCUUCGGUAAAUUGAAGUGAAAGUACGGAAUUUAAUGUAUUAAACUGUUGUAAGCGUGAUGAUUCACCCAUGUUUCGUACUUUUUGGUUCCAAAUGUUCUUGCUGUUCAGUUUGGUUUACUUCAGGGCACUUAUUUUUGCAAUAGUGGAGCGGUGCAUCAUGUUAGUGCAGAAAAAGAAUGCAACAGUUCUAAUAGCUUCAUGUCUUUCGUGCGUUUCUUCUGGAACCAGCAGUGUGAUCUAGUGUAUAAAUGAACGUACAAAUGUUCUUAUUUGUGAUCUCAAUGAUACUUGAGCUGUUGACAUGCAUUGCAUUUAGGCUGAUAUCAAUUUUAUGAACAGUAUUUAGCAUGCUGCUUUAGCAUCCUAGAACAAAAGUGUACAUUCGCAUGUGUCCUGCAGUCACAAACCGUUACGAUAUAUAUGUCACCUUCUUGCAUUUCAUAUUGCAAAAUUGUGCUUUUUCAAUUUCCGAUGCAGUCAAAAUUUCUGCUCCAGACAUGCAAUAAAGAGGAUGGCACCAGUGUAAAGCAACACACUCCACGCACUAAAGAGAAGCUACCACCUGCUACAACAAGCUGUGGACUUUGCCAGCUACUACAAGAACCUGCACCAAAGCACAUCUUGGUCCUCUUUACAGGACCCCACAUCUACACCAACAGGAAGGGGCUGGAGAUGAAUUUGCAAGGCUUUUACAUCAUAAACAAAGAAGCGGAUGCAGAAGUAUUUGGAUGAGAUAUCAAGUCUACGGAGGACUGCGUCAAGACUUAAAGAGUUUCAGCCAUCAUUCCACCAGCACAGAUAUUGGCCAAGUCAUCCAGGUACCUCAACAAAGACUCUCUAAAAAUUCUUCGGGUUCAGGUGUGCCUGAAACCUCUGAACAAGCACAGACAAUGCUGGCCAAAAGAGUUCUGUCAGUUUGCCCUUCCUUAACCAGCUUCCUGGCCAUGUCAAAUUCCAUUUGUGCGAAGUAUAGAUUUAUUUUCUAUGAAUGCAAGCUUUUUCAUUCCCCAUUCUUGUUAGAGAUCAUUCUUCUUCCUCAUCCAAACUUAAAGGUCAAAUGAUUAUUUGCUCAUACUGUCAGUCACUGUCUAGUAGCAUAACAUAUCUGUAGCAGUAUUUUCUAGUAUAUGUUGCCAUUUGCAAUUCCUCCUGAAAUAGCUGAUGCGGCAUUUGACUUAUUGUUUUUGGCCUUCGUUGCUUGCAGAGCUGAGUGGCUUCUUUUUUUAAUGCGAGCUUUCUCAUUCCCAUAUUUAAUUCCUAGUCUCGUUGAGGAUUGCUCUUCUUGCUUGAUAGCCUGGGUCUUUGCGCAUGCUACACUGAAGUGAUCAAUUGCAGAACCUGGUUUCGCUGCUGUCCCACUUGGUCGCGGUCGCCGUGUUGCAUUUCUCAGAUGUUGGGGCCUGGUCAGUUGCACUAGGAAGCAGCCUCUUGAGGUAAGCACCUGCUCCUGCAGUCUGCACAGUGACAAAAGCUCCCAAUAUACACACACCAUAACUGGAGCUCCACUUUCGUUCUUUUCUGCUGUGGCCGUGGCCAAAUCGUGCUUUGGCCUUCCUCGGCCAUGAUUGGUGUGAACGGAAACCAGCAUACAUGCUUACAUGGUUGGGUGUAUGAAGCUGAUAGCCACAUGGGUGGAAAGGGCCACAGAAGUGGCUGCCAAAGGUGAUGUGCAAGAAACCGACCAUGUCCCUAUUGAAACAAAGUGGAGCACCAAGUGUGAGCCACACAUUAGCGGUCCCCGAAAGUAAAGAUAAUUGCAGAUUGGAAAGGAGUUAACGCUAAAAUGCCAAGUAGUCCGUGUCACUGUGUUGACCGUGGCAGCAGGUGCCCGAGUCAGCCAAUUGCCUAGUAAUGCAAGUUGCUUAUGUUCAACGCUGACUGUCAGUGCAAACAGGUGGGACACGCCGCCCAAUAUGUUUACGCUGCUGGUUGCCGCUCAUUACCAGACCGCCAUGUGCGGUGAAGGCAAGCAUUAUGCCUGUAGUCGGACAGCUGAAUGUGCCGUAACAGACCUGUGUAUGUGAAUACUCACUGUUGCCGUGUGGAUCUUAGCCAUUGUAUAAUGUAUUGUCUGAACCUUAUGUGGUGAUUGAUUGCAGUUUCAUUUUGCUGUUAUCUCACUUGGUUGCAGUUACCGUGUUAAAUUUCUCAGAUGUAGCAUCCUGCUCAGUUGCACUGGGAAGCAGUCUCUCGAGGUAAGCAUUCGCUCCUGCAGUCCACAUAGCAACAUAGACUCUGAAUUUACACGCACCAUGAUUGGUGCUCCCCAUUCCGUCCUUUCCUGCUGCAACCGUGGGCAAACUGUGCUUGUAACCUUCCUCGGAUGCGAUUUGGCGUGAACGGGACUUUGACCAGCAUACGUGCUCACAUGGUCGGAAAUGUAUGAAAUUGCUAGCUAUGCGGGUGGAAUGGCCCGCAAAAGUGGCUGCCAAAGGUGAUGCCCACGAAACCAACCAUGUCCAUAUUGAACAAACUGGGGCAUGAAGUGCGAGCGACAUAUUAGUGGCUCCCAAAAGAACAAAAGGAAACGUGCAGGUUGGAAAGGAGUUAACAUUAAAUUGCCAGGUAGUCCAUAUGGCUGUGUUGGCUGCAGCUGCAGGUGCCUGCAUCACCCAAUUGCUUCGCAAUGCAAGUAGAUCACCUUCAACAGCAACUGUUGAUGCAAACAGGUGGGACACUGUCCAAUCUGCUUGCGCUGUUGGUUGUCGCUCAUUACCAGACCACCAUGUGCGAAGACUAAGGUGAGCCGUUUACGAGCUUGCGUUAAUGCUUCCAGCAUGUCUCGACAUGCAAAUUUUAUUUCUGCUCUUGUACGAGAAGGUGCACUGCUUGUUUUCUGCCAAUAAAGCCGCUUGUUCUGUUCA